UACGGGGGGGGGCAAGCGUUGUUCGGAAUUACUGGGCGUAAAGGGCUCGUAGGCGGCCAACUAAGUCGGAUGUGAAAUCCCCAGGCUCAACCUGGGAACUGCGUCUGAUACUGGAUGGCUUGAAUCCGGGAGAGGGAUGCAGAAUUCCAGGUGUAGCGGUGAAAUGCGUAGAUAUCUGGAGGAACACCAAUAGCGAAGGCAGCUCGCUGGGACGGUACUGACGCUAAGGCGCGAAAGCGUGGGGAGCGAACAGG
rnacentral:rRNA from 1 species